rnacentral:rRNA from 1 species
GAUGAACGCUGGCGGCGUGCCUAAUACAUGCAAGUCGAGCGAACAGACGAGGAGCUUGCUCCUCUGACGUUAGCGGCGGACGGGUGAGAAACACGUGGAUAACCUACCUAUAAGACUGGGAUAACUUCGGGAAACCGGAGCUAAUACCGGAUAAUAUAUUGAACCGCAUGGUUCAAUAGUGAAAGACGGUUUUGCUGUCACUUAUAGAUGGAUCCGCGCCGCAUUAGCUAGUUGGUAAGGUAACGGCUUACCAAGGCAACGAUGCGUAGCCGACCUGAGAGGGUGAUCGGCCACACUGGAACUGAGACACGGUCCAGACUCCUACGGGAGGCAGCAGUAGGGAAUCUUCCGCAAUGGGCGAAAGCCUGACGGAGCAACGCCGCGUGAGUGAUGAAGGUCUUCGGAUCGUAAAACUCUGUUAUUAGGGAAGAACAAAUGUGUAAGUAACUAUGCACGUCUUGACGGUACCUAAUCAGAAAGCCACGGCUAACUACGUG